GAGGAUGCGAGCGUUAUCCGGAUUUAUUGGGUUUAAAGGGUGCGUAGGCGGUUACCGUAAGUCAGUGGUGAAAACCCCCCGCCCAACGGGGGACGUGCCACAGAAACUGCGGAGCUGGAAUAUGGGCGCUGUUGGCGGAAUGUGUAGUGUAGCGGUGAAAUGCAUAGAUAUUACACAGAACACCGAUUGCGAAGGCAGCCAACAAGGGCAAUAUUGACGCUGAUGCACGAAAGUGUGGGGAUCGAA
rnacentral:rRNA from 1 species